AGAGUUUGAUCCUGGCUAAGGACGAACGCUGGCGGCGUGCCUAAUACAUGCAAGUCGAGCGAGCAGAACCAGCAGAUUUACUUCGGUAAUGACGCUGGGGACGCGAGCGGCGGAUGGGUGAGUAACACGUGGGGAACCUGCCCCAUAGUCUGGGAUACCACUUGGAAACAGGUGCUAAUACCGGAUAAUAAAGCAGAUCGCAUGAUCAGCUUAUAAAAGGCGGCGUAAGCUGUCGCUAUGGGAUGGCCCCGCGGUGCAUUAGCUAGUUGGUAAGGUAACGGCUUACCAAGGCAAUGAUGCAUAGCCGAGUUGAGAGACUGAACGGCCACAUUGGGACUGAGACACGGCCCAAACUCCUACGGGAGGCAGCAGUAGGGAAUCUUCCACAAUGGACGCAAGUCUGAUGGAGCAACGCCGCGUGAGUGAAGAAGGUUUUCGGAUCGUAAAGCUCUGUUGUUGGUGAAGAAGGAUAGAGGUAGUAACUGGCCUUUAUUUGACGGUAAUCAACCAGAAAGUCACGGCUAACUACGUGCCAGCAGCCGCGGUAAUACGUAGGUGGCAAGCGUUGUCCGGAUUUAUUGGGCGUAAAGCGAGCGCAGGCGGAAGAAUAAGUCUGAUGUGAAAGCCCUCGGCUUAACCGAGGAAUUGCAUCGGAAACUGUUUUUCUUGAGUGCAGAAGAGGAGAGUGGAACUCCAUGUGUAGCGGUGGAAUGCGUAGAUAUAUGGAAGAACACCAGUGGCGAAGGCGGCUCUCUGGUCUGCAACUGACGCUGAGGCUCGAAAGCAUGGGUAGCGAACAGGAUUAGAUACCCUGGUAGUCCAUGCCGUAAACGAUGAGUGCUAAGUGUUGGGAGGUUUCCGCCUCUCAGUGCUGCAGCUAACGCAUUAAGCACUCCGCCUGGGGAGUACGACCGCAAGGUUGAAACUCAAAGGAAUUGACGGGGGCCCGCACAAGCGGUGGAGCAUGUGGUUUAAUUCGAAGCAACGCGAAGAACCUUACCAGGUCUUGACAUCUAGUGCCAUCCUAAGAGAUUAGGAGUUCCCUUCGGGGACGCUAAGACAGGUGGUGCAUGGCUGUCGUCAGCUCGUGUCGUGAGAUGUUGGGUUAAGUCCCGCAACGAGCGCAACCCUUAUUAUUAGUUGCCAGCAUUAAGUUGGGCACUCUAAUGAGACUGCCGGUGACAAACCGGAGGAAGGUGGGGAUGACGUCAAGUCAUCAUGCCCCUUAUGACCUGGGCUACACACGUGCUACAAUGGGCAGUACAACGAGAAGCGAGCCUGCGAAGGCAAGCGAAUCUCUGAAAGCUGUUCUCAGUUCGGACUGCAGUCUGCAACUCGACUGCACGAAGCUGGAAUCGCUAGUAAUCGCGGAUCAGAACGCCGCGGUGAAUACGUUCCCGGGCCUUGUACACACCGCCCGUCACACCAUGGAAGUCUGCAAUGCCCAAAGCCGGUGGCCUAACCUUCGGGAAGGAGCCGUCUAAGGCAGGGCAGAUGACUGGGGUGAAGUCGUAACAAGGUAGCC
rnacentral:rRNA from 1 species